rnacentral:rRNA from 1 species
UACAGAGGUCUCAAGCGUUGUUCGGAUUCAUUGGGCGUAAAGGGUGCGUAGGUGGCGGGGUAAGUCUGGUGUGAAAUCUCGAGGCUCAACCUCGAAACUGCACUGGAUACUGCCUUGCUUGAGUACUGGAGAGGAGAUUGGAAUUUACGGUGUAGCAGUGAAAUGCGUAGAUAUCGUAAGGAAGACCAGUGGCGAAGGCGAAUCUCUGGACAGUUACUGACACUGAGGCACGAAGGCCAGGGGAGCAAACGGG